rnacentral:antisense_RNA from 1 species
UGUUAUGGCGGCCGUGCGCGGGCACGUUGAUUCGUGGCCGAGUGUCCCGAGAGAGCUCGGUUCCUACCCCGCGUACGGCUGCCACCCAA